rnacentral:rRNA from 1 species
UACGUAGGGGGCAAGCGUUAUCCGGAUUUACUGGGUGUAAAGGGAGCGUAGGCGGUGAUGCAAGUCAGAAGUGAAAGCCCGCAGCUCAACUGCGGGACUGCUUUUGAAACUGUAUGACUAGAUUGCAGGAGAGGUAAGUGGAAUUCCUAGUGUAGCGGUGAAAUGCGUAGAUAUUAGGAGGAACACCAGUGGCGAAGGCGGCUUACUGGACUGUAAAUGACGCUGAGGCUCGAAAGCGUGGGGAGUAAACAGG